rnacentral:lncRNA from 1 species
AAAGAAGAGAGACUGAUUGGGAUGCUGUAAUUAUAAACAGCUGGGAUGAUAACAACCUGGACAUAACUGACUCCAAAGUAGUCAGGAUCAAAAGUCAACUUGGCAAAAGAUAUUCUAUCAGACUUCUACUUCAUGACAUCCACAUGAAGAUAACAAUACAUGUUUCUGUAAAAUGGACAAAUGAGUAUGUGUGCCCACAACCAACAUUUGCUCCUGCUCUCUGGCAAUCUCAGUCACUUCUUUGUGUUUAACUUGGGAUGUUAUCGAAUCACACUUUUAAAUAUUUUAUUUCCACCUAUUGAAAAAGUGUGCUUCUAAAUAUGAAAUGAGUUCAGAAUAUCACAAAUAUUUGACAAAUAACAAGCACUUGUAUCUAGUUCCAAUCUCAUGUAGAAGAGAGGUUCAGAACAGAAUUUUGAUACCUGUUACGGAUUGAAUAUUUUUUCCCCUCCAAAUUCACAUGUUGAAAUCUAAUCCCCAGUGUGAUGGUACUUGGAGGUGGGACUUUGGGAGAUAAUUAGGUCACAAGGGUGGAGCCCUCAUGAAUGGGAUUAGUGCCCUUAUAAGGAAAGGCCAAUGACCUACCUUUUUUCUUUCCAUAAUUUGGUGAUAUAGGAAGUCAGUGUCUGCAACCAGGAAGAAGACCCUCACUAGAACCUGCACCUGCUGGCACUCUGAUCUUGAAAUUCCAGCCACCAGAACUGGACAGCUGGAUGAAUACUUUCAGGGAAAAUUCUGUUUGAAUUCCGCUGGUGGCACGCACAUAGCCAUUUCCAGAUCUGAAGGUGCCUGCGCCUUUCCUAGUACUCUACUGUCCACGGGGCCACAAGAGUCUCAACUGCUGGAUGUUGUCCAAGUCCUCGUCAUUGCAGCUGUGAUGGCUACACUGCCAGGCCUGGCUCGAAGGCACAAAGAGGGUUUUUUCUUUGUUUGACCACAGAAGGGUCAUCCCAACACUGAAUUUUAUCACCCCUUGGGGAUUUGCUAAUAUAGAAGUCAAAAUAGCGAAGGUUUAAGGUGAGAGGUGUGCUCUCCAGUUAACCGGU